rnacentral:lncRNA from 1 species
GGAAUCCAUUGGUAAAUCCACCUCUUGAGCCAGUGCUUCAGAUGGCAGUCUGUGGAAGCAUGUUUUCUUUCCUAGGACUUUGCCCUGAAGCUUGGAAUUGAGUUUGGGACAAAAAUGUGUCUCUGGGUGGUUGCAUCGAUUCCUUAUCAUCAGCUGCAUGCUAAUGUGAAUCUGUGGAAUUGAGUCCUCCUCCAACAAGGGAGAGAAAAUGAUGUGUUGUGACAUACCCAGGAGCCAUGUAUUCAGCAGAGCGCUGUUGUUAAUCAUGGCAGGAGAUCACUCCCACAGCUUUGUUUCUUCUGCUGAGAAUCACAUCUCUU